rnacentral:rRNA from 1 species
AAGGUUGGGCACUCUAAAGAGACUGCCGAUGACAAAUCGGAGGAAGGUGGGGAUGACGUCAAAUCAUCAUGCCCUUUAUGUCCUGGGCUACACACGUGCUACAAUGGUCGGUACAACGAGAAGCAAGUCAGCGAUGGCAAGCAAAUCUCUAAAAGCCGAUCCCAGUUCGGAUUGCAGGCUGCAACUCGCCUGCAUGAAGUCGGAGUUGCUAGUAAUCGCGGAUCAGAAUGCCGCGGUGAAUGCGUUCCCGGGUCUU